rnacentral:rRNA from 1 species
CCUACGGGUGGCUGCAGUGAGGAAUAUUGGUCAAUGGGCGUAAGCCUGAACCAGCCAAGUCGCGUGAGGGAUGAAGGUUCUAUGGAUCGUAAACUUCUUUUAUACGGGGAUAAAGUGUGGGACGUGUCCUAUUUUGUAUGUACCUUAUGAAUAAGGAUCGGCUAACUCCGUGCCAACAGCCGCGGUAAUACGGAGGAUCCGAGCGUUAUCCGGAUUUAUUGGGUUUAAAGGGUGCGUAGGCGGCCUGUUAAGUCAGCGGUGAAAGUCUGUGGCUCAACUCCGGCAUUGCCGUUGAAACUGGCGGGCUUGAGUAUGUUUGAGGCAGGCGGAAUGCGUGGUGUAGCGGUGAAAUGCUUAGAGAUCACGCAGAACCCCGAUUGCGAAGGCAGCCUACCAAGCUAUGACUGACGCUGAGGCACGAAAGCGUGGGGAUCAAACAGGAUUAGAUACCCUAGUAGUC